rnacentral:tRNA from 1 species
GCCUAGAUAGCUCAGAUGGGAGAGCGUUAGACUGAAGAUCUAAAGGUCCCCGGUUCGAUCCCGGGUCUGGGCA